rnacentral:rRNA from 1 species
GCCAUCCUUGGGAUACCACCCUUGUAGUACUGGGACUCUAACCAUAGGCCAUGAAUCUGGUCUUGGGACACUGUCAGGUGGUCAGUUUGACUGGGGCGGUUGCCUCCCAAAGGGUAUCGAAGGCGCUCAAAUGAUCUCUCAGUACGGGCGGCAAUCGUACGUAGAGUGUAGAGGCAAAAGAGAGCUUGAUUGCAAGACAUACAGGUCGAGCAAGGAUGAAAAUCGGACUUAGUGAUCCGGUGGUUCUGCGUGGAAGGGCCAUCGCUCAACGGAUAAAAGCUACCCUGGGGAUAACAGGCUUAUCUCCCCCAAGAGUCCACAUCGACGGGGAGGUUUGGCACCUCGAUGUCGGCUCAUCACAUCCUGGGGCUGUAGUAGGUCCCAAGGGUUGGG